CUGUAGUAAUAAGGAUUUUUCGCUCCUGUGUGUGGAUUUACAGCCCACCGCCUUACUCGGCCAUAUUACU
rnacentral:tRNA from 1 species